CUGGCCCCGGUUAGAGCAAGGGGACAUGGAGGAUUUGGAAAUCUUUAGGCAGGAUCAGAGAAAGAACACAGGAGGAUUAAAGCCUUCGAAAAAUGUGUCCUCUGGGAGAAAGUUAAAGACAUGGAAUUCCUCGGGCUAGAGGAGGACAUAGGAAGAUGGAUCUAGCCUCGAUCUCCUGGCAUUUGAGCAACUGUUUUAUAGAGACUGCGGCAGUCUUAGAUGAACGUCUCUGUUGCAAAGAAUGAAGGCCUGCUCCAGGAACGCCCUGACGUGUAGAAUUUACUGCAAUGUACAUAUUCUCACCAUGGCUGAUGUAAAGCUACCCAAUGUGGUGUUACUGAACGUGGAAUUGAGAAGAGCUGCACAAUGACAUCGUGGUGCUCAUAGAACAAGCCUUUCUCUUCUGUUCAAAGCUUGAGCAGCCCUUUAGAUGAAGAAGCAGCAGCAGUGAUCACUGCAUGCUUUAGAGUUCCCUCCCCUGCCUUGGACGUCUGGCAUCUCACUUUUCUCGCCAGCAACCUAGGAGGAGAGGAUGCCAUCCUAAUUGUAACAUCGGAGCCACUGAGACCCACAGAUGUUAGAUGAUUUGCUCCAGAUCACAACUGAGGCUCAAACCCAUCACUUGGCCACAAAUCUUGUACCUCAUCUAUAUCAAUCUGUCUCUGUCAAACCUAACAAGCUAAUCAAUUUUUCCUAUCCAUAAACCAGACACCUUUUGAUAUAAAAAGCCAAUUGAUCUCCAAAAAAACCAAAAGGCCAGUUCCAGUUGUCAAAUGCUACAGACUAGUGAGUCUCUUCCCCAAGUUCUAUGAGAAGCUCAAAGAUCCUGAGUUUCAAAGCCAGCCAAAUUUGGAUUUCCUCUAUAAAGAAAGAGUCACUCCCUGUUUGGAACGUACCCUUCCUCAUUAAGCUAGUUCCAUGUUUUGUAAUAACUUUUGCUUACAACACAGAAUUGUCACAGAUCAUGGAAACACACAGGCCUUGGGGGGAAAAAAGGUCCCGAGGCCCCUGGAAGUCAUUAUUCCUUCCUUUAGCAAUUGCUGAGUUAAGCACCAAAAAUAUGGUUCCCAUCUUGCUCCCUUUCCCCCCCAC